CUAUCGAGCCAGCCGAGCAGUGGACCUACCCCCAAAUCCUCGGUCGCUUGUCCCUUCCGAGAAGAACCGCAGAAACCUGAAAUCUACCGCCGCUCCCCCGUGAAGGCGACGCCGGGCUCGGGCGGGCGCAUCCCCGACCACACCGGCGGCAACGACCCCUACGUCCCCGGCCCCAACUCUUCUCAGAUCUAGAUCGGCGGCGACCGCCUCUUCCGGCCACACCCGCGCCACCGGAGACGCAUCGGUGGUGCCAGAGACGAACCAGUCUGCACACCUUCUCUCUGCAGGAGACGAUCCUUCCCGGUCGCAUCUGCUAUUUGCCCGAGAUAAUCCCGUCCCAGCCAUGUGAAUCUGUCCAGCGAUAGGCGGCUUUGUGUGGAGGCAAAGGAUCGAUGUAUAUUCAGUAGAUGCGAAAGUUGGGCAUUUUUAGGCCAGAUUAACGACUAGUGCUCCAGUAACGGGAUUUUCCAGUUUCCACAAAGUCACAUCCUCUGGCCGCCGGCGGACUCAUUGUUUGGCCAAAAGUAAAUCAGCCGGACACCUGAUCUGCGCACAAAGGAGCACCUCCAGAUUGAAAUCAAUUUGAUCUAGAAAACCAGAACUGAACUAACAGAAUUAAUUCCGGUGGUUACUUAGGCCAAGAUGCACGAGAAGGGGCCCCAGUUUUGGUUAAAGCUGCACUUCUACAUGCUUUUGCCAUCCACUGAACAACUAAGAAACUUCUAGCCGGACCUGAGGCUCACAUGGCAUGAUCUUGAUCGUUCAAGAGUCCUUCAAAAUGAGUGGAGACCUAGUAUCAUUCUGAUGGAAAAAUGGAUCGAUGUACUCUUUCUAUUUUUUACUAGUUUUUUGAGAAAUAUGUAAUCACUUUCAUGCCAAUCUUAUGUAACACCACAGCCUAAUCAUCAUUUGCAAUAUUCUGAAAUGUUGUAAGUGGUUUCUUUCUCUUUUUUGAGAAAUGUAAGUGCUUUCUUAUAGCGACUUGAUAGGAAGUUGUGGUAAUUCUCCCAAAAAAUAUCAUAAAUAUUGUAUUUCUGGUUUAUGGUAA